GGCUACGCAGGAGGCAGUUUGGCUGGGGGACAUCCAGACGUGUCACAGAUCCGGAAGCUCGGAGCCCUUGACAGCCUUUGCAAGCCAGGAUUUUCUCUGCGGGGGAAGGAAAGAAGGAAGGAAGGAAGGGAG